GACGAACGCUGGCGGCGUGCUUAACACAUGCAAGUCGAACGGAGUGGCGAACGGGUGAGUAACACGUGGGUGACCUGCCCUGCACUUCGGGAUAAGCCUGGGAAACUGGGUCUAAUACCGGAUAGUGUUGGAUGGGCCCGGGGCAUAUCAGCUUGUUGGUGGGGUAAUGGCUUACCAAGGCGGCGACGGGUAGCCGGCCUGGGAGGGUGGACGGCCACAUUGGGCCUGAGGGACGGAGCAGACUGCUACGGGGGGCAGCGGUGGGGAAUCUUGCACAAUGGGCGGAGGCCUGAUGCAGAGACGCCGCGUGGGGGAUGACGGCCUUCGGGUUGUAAACUCCUUUCACCAUCGACGCGGUAGAUAGAGAAGAAGCACCGGCUAACUACGUGCCAGCAGCCGCGGUAAUAC
rnacentral:rRNA from 1 species